CACUGAAAAGAAAGUUUGUGUUAUUACCUGUUUCUUUUCAGAAAGACUUUUUUUGGUUUUACGUAUUGUACUGACUACAUGAAACGUGGCAUAGUAACUAUUGUUAUUCCCUUAUUAUUUAGUUACAGAAGUUUGUUUUCUUUUUUUAAUGAAAUAAAAAGAAAAAAUGUAGGAAAAAAAUAGAAAAGGGAGAGAAAUGAGAACCCCCAUCCCAGGCACCCCGCUGCUCCCCUCCUGCGUGCACCACAGAAAAGCUGGCAGGGAGCAAACCCUCACUGGACAGCUCAUCCACAGGCACUCUGACCUUGGACUUUGUUGCCCUCAGAACUGCUAAGAAGUAAAUGUUUGCUAGGAAACCACCCAGGCUGUGCCAUUUUGUUGAACAGCCCAGGCUAAGACAAUGAAUAGGAAUGAACUACGAUUUAUCCAUUCUUCCUCUGAUGUACAUUUGGCAGUUUGAAGAUUGGAGCUUGGAUAAAAGGUACAGCUGCAGCAGGUGACUGUUAAGAGACUUGGAGCCUGCUGACCUCCGGCCACUCCAACUUGGAAGAUCCUCAAAGACCCCUGCAUUAGACACGGCCAAGGGCACUCACCUUGGCACGCAUCGUUCACACUUCUGCUGCGGUCUGGGUAUGCUCGGAUGUGUCUCGCAAAGCAUUUUAUGUCCAUCGUACAGCACCUGGCGAAGAAUAGGCAGUCUGUCCUGCUUACAGACUGAAUGGGCAUACGGACAAAUGAAAAAUUGAAUGAAUUAUUGAAUCACGACAGUGUCAUCAAAAGUAUUUGAUGCUUUGCAAGAACAUCCAUUCCAUGAAACAUCUUGGCCACCCCUGGAGUCACCAACUUCCCAAGCAUCCAAGCCACAAUCUUUCAGACAAACUCGAGGUUUCCAAGCCUCUGUGAGCCCAGCCCAACCUGCCUAGAAAGUCAGUAUUUAAGCUCCUAUACUUGAUUUCCGUCAUCAUCCACUGCAAGCAAGAGCUGUUGAUUUUCUUUAAUUAAGGCUGGAAAGAUGGCUUCUUGAGUGGGGAAUCUGUUUCUUGAGUUCAGCAUUUCAUCUGCAUGGCCCACAUUUCACUCAGAAACAGGGAAGAUUCAUUAAAAGUAUGGCCAGACGGCUUCCUCUCUGGCUGCUUGUUUGCCUACAUUUAAUGAAUGAAUAAAUAAAUAACAU